AUGCGUCAGCCCUUCUUCUCUCUCGACGACCAGCGUAUCGACGAGUGCGAUGGGGACGGGCUGCCCUGGCCCGACGACGCCGUCGACGAGGCCCUCAUCUCCUCCCUGCCCGUCUUGGACGACAGGUUCCUAGAGGCCCUCGGAGUCGACUGCUCGCCGCCGGCGCCCAUGGACGUGGACGUGCACCUGCGGCUCACCCAGAGCCCGGCCGCCGGCCGGAAGACCAACUCCGGCGGUGCGUUCCCGCUCUGGGACGUGCCCACCAAACCGCGCCGCCAGCCGGCCGCCGCGCGCAAGCGGCCCUGGUCCCACCCGUCCGUGUCUUUCGGAGUCCCGGCCGUUCACGAGGCGCCGCCCGCCCACGGCGGACACGGUGUCAGCGCCGACAACGCCGGGGUGUUCAGUUACGGCAGCGACAUCAAACCCAGCAAGUUGUCUUACGGCGGCGACAUCAAACCCGGCAAGUUGAGUUUGAGUUACAGCAGCGACGGCGGCAGCAAGGUCGACGACAUGGGUGGCGGCCGCCGGCGGUCGGCGGGGCGGAAGCGGGAGCAGGCGCCGGAGGGCCAGGAAUGCGGGCACUGCCACACGACGGAGACGCCGCAGUGGCGGAACGGGCCGGACGGGCCGGCCACGCUGUGCAACGCGUGCGGCAUCCGGUACAGGAUGGGCAGGGACAAGCUGGUGCCGGAGUACCGGCCGUCGACGAGCCCCUUCUUCCGCAGCGGCGAGCACUCCAACCGCAACAGCAAGGUGCAGAAGCUCAGGGAGAAGAAGGUCAAGGCCCUCAAGCUCUACGGCGAUGGCGGCGGCUCCGGUGCACCUGGUGGCGCCAUGACGACGGCGAAGGUCGCCGGCAAUGUAGAUAUUAGUUCAGUUCUUUAG
rnacentral:rRNA from 1 species